rnacentral:rRNA from 1 species
AGAGCGAACGCUGGCGGCGUGCCUAACACAUGCAAGUCGAACGUGAACGGGGGGCAACCCUCUAGUAAAGUGGCGUACGGGUGAGUAACGCGUAGGUAAUCUACCCCGAAGUUCGGAAUAACCGGCCGAAAGGCUGGCUAAUACCGGAUAGAGCGACGGAACCCGUAAUCGGGUUUUUCGGGAAAGGGAGGGAGCAAUCUCCCUCGCUUCGGGAUGAGCCUGCGUCUCAUUAGCUAGUUGGCGGGGUAACGGCCCACCAAGGCAUUGAUGAGUAGCUGGUCUGAGAGGAUGAUCAGCCACACUGGAACUGAAACACGGUCCAGACUCCUACGGGAGGCAGCAGUGGGGAAUCUUGCGCAAUGGACGAAAGUCUGACGCAGCCACGCCGCGUGAGUGAAGAAGGCCUUCGGGUGUAAAGCUCUGUCGGAGGGGAGAACACAAUGACGGUACCCUCCAAGAAAGCCCCGGCUAACUACGUGCCAGCAGCCGC